rnacentral:rRNA from 1 species
ACUCAAAUGAAUAGACGGGGGCUCACACAAGCGGUGGAGCAUGUGGCUCAAUUCGAAGCAACGCGCAGAACCUUACCUGGGUUUGACAUGCACGGAUUAACUCCUGGAAACAGGAGCCACGCUCGCAAGAGUGGAACGUGCACAGGUGCUGCAUGGCUGUCGUCAGCUCGUGCUGUGAAGCGUCGGGUUAAGUCCCUUAACGAGCGCAACCCUUGUCGUUAGUUACUAACGCGUUAUGGCGAGGACUCUAACGAGACUGCCGGUGUCAAACCGGAGGAAGGCGGGGAUGACGUCAAGUCCUCAUGGCCCUUACAUCCAGGGUUGCACACGUGCUACAAUGGUGCAUACAAAGCGACGCGAGGCCGCGAGGCGGAGCAAAUCGCAAAAAAUGCACCCCAGUUCGGAUUGCAGGCUGCAACCCGCCUGCAUGAAGCCGGAAUCGCUAGUAAUCGGAGAUCAGCUACGCUCCGGUGAAUGUGUUCCUGAGCCUUGUACACACCGCCCGU